rnacentral:lncRNA from 1 species
CUUUUGAGUAGUGUUUACCAAAACGCAUCACUUGUAAUUUCUAGUGAAGCACCUGUAAUUCUAAAACAUGCAGACAACUUUACAGCAAACCUCACCAAUUUGGAUCAAAGACAAUUCCAGAUUCACACAAUUAGGUGCUAAUUUGGUAAACACUACUGUGAGGAAGUUCAUACAUAGCUGACAUCUUGUUCAUAAAUCAAGACAUCAAGUUGAUACAUAGGUGGACAAACAGUUAGGUGCUAAUUUUUUCCUUCUUACUCUGUGUCAAUUUCUUGGUAGUCCUUUUAUUAUUUGUUGGAGUACUCUUUCCUGGAGAUGCAUCACCAGUGGGCUGCCCAAGCAACAUUGCGAGCUGUCUGUAUAGCAAAGACUCAAAAUGAUCAGUUUGUCCAACUCCAUUAUCAGUUUUGCACGAGGGUAAUCUGUCGAAGCUCUCAUUUGAUGAGGGUAAAGCAGCAAAAAGGUGACCUCCUGAAAAUCUCCACUCCUCGCUCCCUCUCCCACGCUGCAAGUGCAAAAUCACAACACGCCGUUACCGCCAUGAGGCCGCCGCCGCCGCCGCAGGCCCUAUCGCCAGAGCAUAGCACCAGCACGAAGCCGUCGUCCGCGGCGAAGAGGGCGUUCACGAGCCGGACGGCGCUGUCCACCAAGGGCCACGAGGCGCCACCCGAGCGCAAAAAGAGGAAGACGCCGCCGCCCGAGUCAACGCCAGCCAAGGCCUCGGAUGCCACAGAGCCGUCAUCCAAGAAGAAGCUCGUGCUAUUCGGGCGCGCGUGCCGCCCCGACGACGAGGCUCGCGUCCCAGAGACCCUCGCCGCGCCCUGCUGCGCCGGCGGCGGCGAGCAAUCUAGCAAGGGCGCCGCCCAAGUGAAGAACGCCGGGCAUCAAUCCAUCAAUGACGCGCUGGGGCACAAGGCCAAGACUUUAGAUGAGAUGCGCGAAUUGUAUCCUCACCUCGUCGAUGAGUCGAUGGCCCUUCUUGACCCGGCGGUGCUGGAGAGGGUGCUACCCCGCAUUGAUGACAACGAGGCCCAGGCGUUGGACAAGAAGAUCAAGAGGGCGAGGAGGCAGCUCACCAAGGCCAUCAGGGAAUCGGUGAGCAAACCCUUCUUAUCCUUAAUCAAACUUACUUGGGAGUACGAUUUCCCUUUAAUUACUCUCAACUCAAGGUUCCGGCCUUCCGUGUCUUUGUUUUAAUUUUCUUGUGAUUGUGGUUGUGCUUCUAAUGAAUAAAUUAUUGGACUAGGUUGUUUCAAAGUAUUUAACCAUUGGUGAAAAGAGUUUGGAUAUUAUGCCCACAUCAUUUAGCUAUUAGACAUGGUUCCACUUUAUGCUGAAAAUAUAGUGACAAGGGCAUAGGGAUGGGGUCCAAUUGAAUAAACUACACGAAAGUUAAAGUGGUCCUGCCGCUACUUAAUAAUUACUAUACAUGCUUAUGCUGAUUUCAAGAUCCAUGGUAUUUGUUUAACAAUUGCAUUCAUAGAUAGGCAUCUUUUGUUGUCUGGUUCCCAGAUGUAGGCUACCUCAAAGUAUUUUACUGCGAUUGAUGCCAUUUGAUAGUGAAGAGGGCAUAGCCAAUCUUUGCGUACAUUUGUGACCAUUACCUAAAAGCAUUUUGCGUGGACAUUGCAAAUAUGGAGUGCAUCACUACAGUCAAAUGGUGCCCCUUAUCUGAUGUCCUCAAUUUUCAAGGCACUGAUUGCCCCACUUUAGUACAGCCAGUGUACCGUACAACGCUUUGCCUAUAAAUAGGAAAUAUGGUUGCAAGCAACUCAAGGUUUCACUUUCAGCAUACUGUUCCAGAAUCCAAAACAAUGAUGUCUAUUUGGGAAUGAAACUAACAGAACUGCGACUUAAGUAUACUAAUAUAAACUUCAUUGUUUGAAGCACCAUACUCUGGAAAAAAUGGAAUUUGUGACAUCAAACUCUGCAAAUAAAAUGAUUUUUUUCAAUAGGUAGUCAUCAUCCCUUUGCCUUGGAAACUGCUAUGUGUACCAGACUUUUUUUUCUGCCCUUCUAGUUUGCACUUGCUCUGAAAUAUUUUUUAUAUGCUGAAAGAUGCAUUUUACAUUUGUGUCAAAUUACCCCACCAAUCACAAGAGGAUGAUGUUCAGGCUGCAUCCUGUCUGACUUCUAAACUUCGGGUGCUAAUAUAUCUUUUAUCAUCACUAGUGAAACCACAUGUUGCCAAAAUAACACUAGUCUAUAAACUCGACCUGCAGGGGGAGGGGUAAGGCAGCCCCCGAGUAUUGUAUAGAAGACCUUCUCCCACAGGUCGAGAAACACCUGAACCCGUGCCCCGCCCAUAUAUAGCGGCAUCAAAGCCCAUGUGAGAACAACCGCGACCGGGGCGGAGCCUUAGACCUGUGCUUUAGCGUGGACAGAUGAAGGGAUUCUUUUAACCACAACCUGAAAUUUGCUCCCACUGGGAGUCGAACCCAGGACCUGAGGAGUGCUACUCAGACCACAAAACCAAUUCAGCUAGAGGCCCUUUUGCAAAACACUACUCUAUGUCAAUGACAAAUGAGGUUGGGCCUCACAUGUCAUUCACAGGCACAACAAUACUAUUUUUCGGGUCAUAUACUGGGCUGAACACAUGAAAGCUAUUCACAGUUUUUGUAAAAAAAUGGUUUGAAAUCUAUUGAAAGUUUGAAACAGAAUAACUGGUCGGUUAGUGUCAAUGUCUAAAGCAGCAUUCUUCUACUGGAUGGAUUUCCACCUGUUGCAUUUCAUGCUUGGUGCAGUGUGCUUCAAUGAUUUCAAGUCGGGCGACUUGCUAGUCGAUACACCUGGGCGACCAGGCGACUAAUCGCGAUUAGGACGACGACUAGGUCGACUAAUCGGGUCCUAGUCGACCUGGACGUCCCUACAGCGCUCCUACAUAUUUGCAGGACCUAUGUAUAUAAUAUUGAUAUAUAUAGCAAUAUAGCAUAUAGAAGGCAAUACCAAACAUAAGUACAUAACAAAUAUGAAUACUGGAACUGGACAAUUCAGAUUUCAGAACAUGAACAUCAGUCACUAACUAAAUUAUAUAUAGCAAUAUAGCAUAUAGGAAGCAAUACCAAUUACCAAACAUAGCAAAUAUGAAUACUGGAAGACAGAAUUCAGAUUGCAGGUUUCAGAACAUGAACAAUUGAACAUCAGUUAUUACUCAGUAGUCACUAACUCACUAAUUCAUAUGAUGCAAAGUUGCAGACUUACUAGUUACUACAUAAAUGCCAAGUAAGACUUACUAUUGACCUAAACUAGGAGUCCAGGGCAACUAAUCGCUUCCACCCAAAUUGGACGACUAAUCGCGAUUAGUCGACGACUAAUCGGACGAUCGGACGAUUAGUCGAGCAGAUCGGGUCGGCCUCCCUAGUCGUGCUAACAGAACCGACUAGCCUGACUAAUCGCGACUAAUCGCGAUUAGUCGGACGACUUGAAAUCACUGGUGUGCUUGCCACAAAAUGUGUGAUUUCUAGAUUUACUUGCUUCUUUGUGUGUUCGUAACCUUUGAUAUAAUAGUAUUUUGUCCCUUAAUAUUCUUCUCAAGUUUUAUGCAGUAUUAGUUACUGGUUGAUUAUCAUUUUUAUAUGAGCUGGAUAAAAUCUUCAGCACUGACUUGUCGGAUGAACUGAUCUUUCACAACCAAGUUGGUCAUGCCUUUCAGAUAAUAUAUAUUUAAUGUGACUUGUUUGUAUUAGAAUGGUUUAGAGUUAGUUGGAUUAGUAUACACAUAAGAGUGAAAGGAUGUGGAUGCUUGUGAUAAGGAUUGCGACUUGUUUCUAUUAGUGUGUGUGUGUGUGUGUGUCUAUAUAUAUAUAUAUAUAUAUAUAUAUAUAUAUAUAUAUAUAUAUAUAUAUAUAUAUAUAUAUAUAUGAUAGUGACAGGAUGUAAUAUGCUUGUGAUAAGAAAUGGAACCUAUGACUAUGAAGUAAUAACAAAUGAAUAUUGUAUACAUGCAUUUAGUUCAGUGCAUUCUUUGUUUGAUUCAUACAUUUUACAGUAAGCAAGACACAUAGUAGAUUAUUAGCCUUCCAUAACCUUUUUGAGACGUUACCAUCAAUACUUGAAGUUGAUGAAUAUACAUUUGUACUAAUGUAGGCAAUGAUGAAAAACAUGGAAACAUCUGUUGUAUUUCUUUGUGAGGCUACUAGGCUUCAAAUGGAAAAGCCAAGAAUGGAUAAACAGGAUGGUCUGGAUAUAUGUGCUCAAGAACGAUUGGCACGAGUGGAACGUGAAAUAGUGGAACUGAGACAGAUUGUGAUAGAUUCUCACUAUCAGGCAACGAUACAAAGCAAUCUACUCCAUGAUAAUUCAUCAUUGAAGGUUAGAUUGUCAUUUGAUUACUAUUGAUAUAUCUCCUGUGGGUAUGAAUUUUUUUCAUUGUUUCUGUCCCCUUUUUCUUCCUAGGGUGUAAGAUGUAAAUCUGAAGAGAGUCACCCUCAACUGGCUGUAGCUGAAAAUCAGAUUCCACACAAAGUGAUUAUCUUCCUUUGUUGAUUUUUUUUUCUAUUGUGUUGCUUCAUGUGAUUUUUUAUGUGUCACAUCAAGUUUAUUUUAUUGUAGAUACUACAAAAGAAGAUCGAUGUGCCAAAUGGCUUCCCCCAUGAAAAGAAUGAGGAGGUUACAUCUAAGUAUAAAUAUGAUGGUGUCGUUCCCCCAAGAAACCCACAUGAUAAUCUGGUUAUCUCCUGCUUUUGUUACUUUUCUAUUUAGACAUGAAACAAACAAUUUGGUGAAAAGUAGAGAACUCUUUGGUUUUAACAGAAAUCAAUAUGAGAAGGCAAACAAACCCCAUCGAUACCCACUCCUAGAGCGAAAAACAUGUCCAGUUGUGCAUCAUCAUUAAGCAAGCUUACGCUCAAAUUUAUGAUGUCUUGGGGGACAUCCUCUUGGUUUCAAAAAAAAAAUCAUUUUUUAGUUUAAACUUGAAAACCUCUAAAAGUGUGAUACAAUAUUUCCAAACUACCGUUGUGUUUUCAAUGGAGAGCAGCCUUGUUCUAGCAUGGUCAUCAAGUGGGUCAAGGAGGAGUCUCACAUCUGGUGUAGGGCUGGAGCUAGUGGAUUAGACAGCAUCCUUUCCGCUCCAGCGCACUAAUCGGCGACCUUCUGUUUUGGGUUUCCAUGGUCAUGAGUACAGGUGUUCAUACUAUCAUUGUAUUUAUAGCUAUCCUCUAGUGUGUGUGGGUUCGUGUGGCUUUAUAUGAGGUUUUUAUCCUCACCUUUUCUUCUUAUUAUAAUGAUACACAGCUCUCAUGCGUUUUCGAAAAAAAUAUUUCCAAACUACUGAGUAAGUAGCUUUUAAACUUGAAAACCUCUGAAAAUGUGAUGCUAUAUUUCCAAACUACUGAGCAAGUAGCUUCAAGGGUUGAUGAGGACAAUGACACGAGAAAGAGAGCUUUGACCAUUGCGCUGUAGCCCUUUGAUAUCUCGUGUGUGUUUUGGGGUGCGGUGGUUGUGUGUACCCUUGUUGGGGAAGUGCCCCCCCCCUCCCCACACACACACAAAAACACAUUUUUUUGGUUUUCCAUACUGUGAACUGUUUUUUCUAUCUUAAUUGAAAGGCAGAGCUUCUACCGUCUCUUUAAAAAACUAUUUCAUAGGCUCUCUUCAAUCUGCUUUUGUUUUUGCAAAUUUGUGGUCGGUGCUGAUGAGAACCAAAACAGCUCUUAAGUUUUCACCAAAUUAACUGUUUCCACUAAAUAUGUCCACCUUUAUUUAGUGGAAUUUAUCAUCCCUUGCUUAAACUGUCCACAGAAACUGCAAGGGUUGAUAAAGCCACCAUUCAAUACAUUUCAUGGCCGGACAAGAAAGGUUGACGCGGAAAGUCAGACUGGGCCCAAUAUGGUUAGCUCCCUUUACACUUAUUGAACUUACAUCAGGCAUGCUUCUGUUCUGGUAGAGGAAAUAAAGCCUAUAUUUAGCACAAAAUGUGUACAUGUGCAACUGUGUACCUGUGUCUUAAUAGUUGAAUAACGUUCCAUAUUUGCUUCUUCUGUUUAGGAUGGCAAAGAGGUUGUGUUGCAUUCAAUAGUUUGGCCACAUACUCCAGUAGGCAAGGCUAUUCUUCAGAGCAGUUCGCCGUCUACAAUAGUAGGUGGCGUGAGAAUUGGAACUGAAUGUUGUAAGGUUUUUUUGAGUGAGGUGUUAAAAAGCGAUGCUCCACUGUUUCGGCAAAAUGGGGAGAUGAAGAUGUUUGAUGCACUUAAGUGUUCAAUUGCAUGGCCAAAUACCCUAGUAAUAUCUUGAAUUCCUCUAGUUAUUAUAGAUUAUUUUAUUGCCACAUAAGUAAAGAAGCAAAAAAACAUUUAUUUUCAGGUCCAAAGAUAAUACCAUUGCUAGCAAGGCAGUACCUGACCGACCGUAUCAUCAAGGUACCAUAACUGCUAGUUGUUGGUUUAUACUUUAUACCUUAUGAAACUCGUGCUCUCGAAAAAUAACACAUGAAAUUUUAUUGUAAUCUCACUCGUUGAUCAUCUAUAUAUUGUAAUUGGUUGAAGGUUAAACCUUUUGAACAAUGUCCAAAAUGCAACAUCCAGCGUAUCUUAUUGGACUCGCAAACAUGCUCUAGUUUAGUGAUUAGUUUGUUUUGAUGGGAUGCCUUUCUCAAGUUGUUGAGAUAGAAACUUAAUUGUGCCUGUUGUCCAAUUUUGCAUUAUAGAUAGGAACAACAAUCAAGCCUUUUUUUAUGAUAGAUAGGAAGAACUACAAAGUGAUUAAUUUGGGCUGAUCUGUUCAUGAAACAAUGCUAAGUUGCAGCUAAAAGCUUUAACAUCAGUUUUUAUGUUCAGGAAAUCAAAAUUAAUUUCUGAAAAAUUACAUGGAACUAUGAUUUUCUUGGUGUCUCUGACAAUUGCUUCAAGAUGGAAUGCAUAAGCUCCAUCAACGGCCAUUUGUAAGUAGAUCGAUACCAUAAGGAUGCUUACAAAGUGUGUGUUUCUCUUAGUUUACCUGAGGGUGUGUGGGGUGCGUGUUUGUAUGGCCAUUUUGGCCUUCUCUUCUUUCUUGAUGCAAUGAUACACAGUUCUGCGUAGUUCUGCGUAUUCGAGAAAACAUAAGGAUGCUUAGUUAACGUGCUGAUCCUUUACAGCAUGCAAUGAAAGCUCUUAUUGGGUGCUACAUAUUGUUUGGUGUGUACUCAGUAGUGUGUUUUUUGUGGGAACAUACAGUAGUAUCAUCAAAUUUUAUAUGACGUCACUUUGUAUAUAUUUUUGAUAUAAAUUACAGUCUGUUGAUAUCUUUUUAGUGCAGUAGACAAUUAAUUAUUAUUUUCCAUUUUCGUGUGUUAUAUAGGUCAUCGACAAAGCUCGUUCGGCAACUGAAUGGUGAUGUGUCAUUUUGCACAUAACGUGGAUGCCAAUAGUAAUAUUAUGAUUUUGAUCUUCAAACACAACACAUACUUUUGGUAUAGGAUGUUCUAAGGAAAAAACGUCUCAAGUUGCAUGUAACGAGUCUGUUUUGGCUUUUGUUCAUAUAUGGGUGACAAUGUGUGGUGUUACUAGACCACUGUUUGGUCAAUUGGAGUAACAAAUCUAGUGAUCUCUCUUGUUAUAGUGAUCUCUCUUGUUAGAGUUACUGUGGUUGUAUUGUAGUGGCCUCUUUGUGUAAUGGGCUUAGGUCUAACAAUUCUAUUAUAAAUAUGUCACCAACCCUAGUUAGGGUUAUGGGUGGCAAUGGGACCCAAUCCUCGAUUCUUCGUGGGAAAUUAAUCUAUUAGAGGAUGGAGAACUUUCUUUCCAUACGGAAAUGUAAAUGGGAAAAAAUCGUCCCUGAUAGGUAAAUAGGGAUGGAGAUGGGGAAGCAUUUUCCAUCAUCAUUCCCUGCGAGACUCGUUAAAUUUGCACGUGACAAUGUUUUUAUAUAUAGUUAAUGAUAAAAAUAAAUAAUUAUCUUACCAAGAGAUCACUCCUUAUACAAAUUUGUUCAUUUUGAUAUAUAUAUACUGAUUUCUUACAUCUGAGAAUGUGUAUAAAUGACAAUAUUUUGAAUUAAUAACAAAGGAACUACAUACUUAGGGUUAGGCUUUUCAGUCUAAUAUGGUAUCUACAACUAUGUUUAACCUUCUUCCCCACCCGAGCCCCAACUGUAGCCAUCGGCUAUAGUAACUCGUCGGCGUCCGCAGGUCACGCCCUCGACGUGCUAGGCUCCAUGGUCGGUGUCAUCUGCUGUCCACGCCCCCGACGCGCAAAGUUCGCUCCCUCGCCUAAUUGCCUGUGUCGACCUCUAACGCGUCUAGCGCCGUCGCGGGUCGAGCCGCAACUCUGUUCCCCUGUCCACGCUCGACCUCGAGCCAUGUCUGCUCCUCCGUCUGCGCCCUUCCUCCACCAUGUCUAGGAGCCGCCGAGUUGUCGUGCCUCCACACCGUCGUGUCCUUGGCAACAACACACCCCUCCCUCCUCUCUCCCAUGGCAACCUCGUCUUGGGCGGCCAUCGCCGACUACGUCUCCAUCAUGAAUGCACCAUCGCCCAGGUUCUCUGCUCUGUAGCUGCCACUAGGCGUCUCUGCGCCGCUGUUGUCGGUCACAUCUGUCGUGGACCCGUCGCCACUUACCAUUGUCGUUGUCGGGUCCGGCGACAUCACCCCCACCGGCAUUGGUGCCUCGACAGCACCCGCCUCCCUCGCCGCCCUCUACAUGGCCGCACUACGGGAGGUCGCGCCCGUGACACAUGUGCCUCUGCUCGAUGCUGCUGCCUAUCAUGCCGAGCUUUCUGGCCCCACACUUUCCCCACAUGGGUAUGGGAGUGGUCACCGCCUUAGUUGAUGGAUCUUCUCCUCUCGCGAGGGGCGGGGGGGUUGGCACGCUCUUGUCACCGGUGUACAGUCACCAGUCGACGAUCACCACCUCUCAGCGUCGUGCCCCCAUCGCUGCCCUUGCGGCCGCUUGCCAGCUUGCGCAGGCGACUGCCCGUGCCUAAGAGCAGGAGCAUGUGUCUGUUGACACCCUCGAGUGUUAGCUCGUCGUGCCCAUCCACUCGCUUGAGAGCGUCCCGGGCACUGACUCCCACUCCGUGCACGACAUCGACGACGAGGCUGUUUUUCUCACCCUUGACAUGCCGGUUAUCGUCAGCCUUCAUGCACAGGCGGCAAGAUUCCCCAGCAUACGAGCACUUGUCUCCAUCAUCCUCGACCCAGAAUCGGCUCAGCACUCGCUAGCGCGACCAAGCCCUGUGACUCUCCACGGCUACGUCUUCGACGACCACAUCCUCGUCGAUGCAGCUGUGCCGACGCAGGUCUGAUGUCGGAUGGACAACGUGGUCCUCUCCUGGAUCCUCGACCCCCUCACAGUCGAGAUGCAGGACAUCGUCCGGGUGCGGGGGAGGGGGUUGGAACCGCUCGCUAGGCCUGUGUUGCUUUAGAGGCGCAGUUCCUCGGCAACCUUAGGUCCGGAUCCUCCAUGGACACCACCUUUCGCUAGCUUGUCUAGGGGGAUCUCACCGUCACUGAGUACUACUGACAGAUGAAUACCAGGGCGAAGACCCUCCACGACCUUGGCUCUCUAGUCAUGGAUGAGACGCUCGUUAUCAACCUCCUGCAUGGGCUCAAUCUCUUGCUUGAGGAACUCACAUCUGCGGUUGUUACCAUCGCUGACGCCGUGACAACCCUCUACAGUGGCAAAUGUGGGGGCAGGCCCAACGGGCCUCUCCUGCUGCCUCUGGGGGUGUGCCCUCUCAUCUGAGUGCGAACCCAUCGUCCUUUGGUGCUCCUCGUCUAGCUGCCAACUCCAGCGGUGGUGGUCGUCGUCGCUAGGAUGAUCGUGGUCGUGGCGGUGGUGCACCGACGGCCCAUGGCAGUAGCUCGUGGCUUUUUGUUGAGAACCAAAUGUGACUGAGCGGACGGUCCAUACUGUACGUCGUAGUGGGGCAAACUGUGUAGAAUCAGUUAGGCUUCUAGAUUUCUUGUGGGAUUUGUUAGCAAAACCUGUGGGAUUAACUCGAGAACCGACUUGUAACGGGUCCAGACAUCAGUUUUACACUCUGCAUAGGUUGUACCCUGUACCCACAAGUCAUGUAUCCCAUGUCGUCAGGGUUUGCAAGGCCCUUAGACACUACCGAGGUGAAUGGCUAGGGAUCCACUACGAGGCCUUUACAAAGUUCCACUAGCUUCCAAAAACCCGCUACAGUUUAUAGGGAGAGCACUUGCAAGAAUCCCUCGUCUGACCGCCAUCGCAGCAAAAUCAACCCGAGAACCUCCUUGCAUGCAACUCCCCUAAUGCCCUUGCCCCUUUCGAGUAAGGUAGUCUUCCACUAGCUUUCCUAAUUAGUUAGCCAAGUGGUCCCAUUCCUCCCUUGUGGUGGCACGUUUUCCCUGGUGGUUCUCCAUGUUCCCAUUAACAUAAUGGUCUUAUCAUGAACAUAAAUAACAUAACAGAAUAAUUGGAACAUGGAUGUAAUGAAAUAUUAACCCAAAACCAUGUAAAGCAAUAGCAUAACUACCCAAAUGAUUCAGGGGUAAACAAGGGAAAAAUGAUAAACACACUAGGGUGACCUAUUGGGUCCCAUCAAAAUUAACCUAUGCAGAUCAUUAUAAUUAAUAAGAACAUGACUGGGUAAAAAGGAAGUGAUCAAGGGCACAACUUGCCUCGCACUUGAGAUUCCAGGUACCAGGAUGAUUCUUCAGAUCCUCGAAACCUCACUGCUAGUCGCAACAAUACAAAUAAACACGGUAUAUAUAAAAUUAACAUCACACCAAAUAUAAGUACAAACUGAAUAAUAAUGAUCUACGCGAAGCUACGAGAUCGCAGGUUUGAGAACCACUAAAAUCGGAGUUACGAUUAAGGAGUUAUGAUUUUAUAGAAGAUCUAUGUGAUUAAAAUAUCAAUCUAUAUUAUGAAUUGGUUAGUGUAAAUUAUAUGAGAGGUUAUUCUAUAAAUAAUUAUCUCCACCUUAAUCUAAAUCAUUAUUUGAUUAAAUAUCAUCUGAUCA